rnacentral:rRNA from 1 species
GACGAACGCUGGCGGCGUGCUUAACACAUGCAAGUCGAACGAAGUGGCGAACGGGUGAGUAACGCGUAAUCAACCUGCCCUUCAGAGGGGGACAACAGUUGGAAACGACUGCUAAUACCGCAUACUGAAGGAGGGGAUUGCGUCUGAUUAGCUAGUUGGAGGGGUAACGGCCCACCAAGGCGAUGAUCAGUAGCCGGUCUGGAGGGAAGGACGGCCCAAUUUGGACUUGAAACCGGGCCCGACCUCUAACGGAGGCAGCAGUGGGGAAUCUUCGGCAAUGGACGAAAGUCUGGCGGAGGAACGCCGCGGGAGUGAUGACGGCCUUCGGGUUGUAAAGCUCUGUUAAGCGGGACGCGGUACCGGAAUAGAAAGCCACGGCUAACUACGUGCCAGCAGCCGCGGUAAUUC